UACGUAGGUGGCGAGCGUUGUCCGGAUUUACUGGGCGUAAAGAGCGCGUAGGUGGCUUGCUCAGUCCUGCGUGAAAGGUCUCGGCCCAACCGAGACACUGCGCCGGAUACUGGCAGGCUUGAGGGCAGCAGAGGCCAACGGAAUUCCCGGUGGAGUGGUGAAAUGCGUAGAUAUCGGGAGGAACACCAGUGGCGAAGGCGGUUGGCUGGGCUGUCCCUGACACUGAGGCGCGAAAGCGUGGGGAGCGAACCGG
rnacentral:rRNA from 1 species